CCCUUAGAUGUUCUGGGCCGCGCGCGCGCUACACUGACGAAUGCAACGAGCUUAUAACCUUGGCCGAAAGGUCUGGGUAAUCUCCAAAUUUCGUCGUGAUGGGGAUAGAUUAUUGCAAUUAUUAAUCUUCAACGAGGAAUGCCUAGUAAGCGCAAGUCAUCAGCUUGCGUUGAUUACGUCCCUGCCCUUUGUACACACCGCCCGUCGCUCCUACCGAUUGAAUGGUCCGGUGAAGCGUUCGGACCGUGGCCUUUGGACGGUUCGCCGUCUGUUGGCUGCGGGAAGUUCGUUAAACCUUAUCAUUUAGAGGAAGGAGAAGUCGCAACA
rnacentral:rRNA from 1 species